rnacentral:rRNA from 1 species
ACGCUGGCGGCAGGCCUAACACAUGCAAGUCGAGCGGUAGAGAGAAGCUUGCUUCUCUUGAGAGCGGCGGACGGGUGAGUAAUGCCUAGGAAUCUGCCUGGUAGUGGGGGAUAACGUUCGGAAACGGACGCUAAUACCGCAUACGUCCUACGGGAGAAAGCAGGGGACCUUCGGGCCAUGCGCUAUCAGAUGAGCCUAGGUCGGAUUAGCUAGUUGGUGGGGUAAUGGCUCACCAAGGCGACGACCCGUAACUGGUCUGAGAGGAUGAUCAGUCACACUGGAACUGAGACACGGUCCAGACUCCUACGGGAGGCAGCAGUGGGGAAUAUUGGACAAUGGGCGAAAGCCUGAUCCAGCCAUGCCGCGUGUGUGAAGAAGGUCUUCGGAUUGUAAAGCACUUUAAGUUGGGAGGAAGGGUUGUAGAUUAAUACUCUGCAAUUUUGACGUUACCGACAGAAUAAGCACCGGCUAACUCUGUGCCAGCAGCCGCGGUAAUACAGAGGGUGCAAGCGUUAAUCGGAAUUACUGGGCGUAAAGCGCGCGUAGGUGGUUAGUUAAGUUGGAUGUGAAAUCCCCGGGCUCAACCUGGGAACUGCAUUCAAAACUGACUGACUAGAGUAUGGUAGAGGGUGGUGGAAUUUCCUGUGUAGCGGUGAAAUGCGUAGAUAUAGGAAGGAACACCAGUGGCGAAGGCGACCACCUGGACUGAUACUGACACUGAGGUGCGAAAGCGUGGGGAGCAAAC